AUCUGCUCUUGUACUAUCGUAGCCAAUGAGGUUUUUCUUAGGUGCGGUUAUUGUUAUUAAAAUCUUUUCCCAAUACCCUGCCAUGACAACUAGUAAUACACUCAGCAUUGGCAAUUUUUUACAGUCUCUACAGAGA